UGAGACCGAUGCGCGAUUCCCGGCCUCCCGCUCCGUUCGUGCCCUCGCGGUUCGUUCGGUCGGGACCAAAGGUCGGCGCGCUCCGCUUUGGUGACUCUGGAUAACUCACUGGUCGAUCGCACGGGCUUCCACGCCCGGCGACGGGUCCCCCGAGGGUCCGCCCUAUCAACU
rnacentral:rRNA from 1 species